rnacentral:rRNA from 1 species
UGGGGAAUAUUGGACAAUGGACCGAGAGUCUGAUCCAGCAAUUCUGUGUGCACGAUGAAGUUUUUCGGAAUGUAAAGUGCUUUCAGUUGGGAAGAAAGAAAUGACGGUACCAACAGAAGAAGUGACGGCUAAAUACGUGCCAGCAGCCGCGGUAAUACGUAUGUCACGAGCGUUAUCCGGAUUUAUUGGGCGUAAAGCGCGUCUAGGUGGUUAUGUAAGUCUGAUGUGAAAAUGCAGGGCUCAACUCUGUAUUGCGUUGGAAACUGUAUAACUAGAGUACUGGAGAGGUAAGCGGAACUACAAGUGUAGAGGUGAAAUUCGUAGAUAUUUGUAGGAAUGCCGAUGGGGAGGCCAGCUUACUGGACAGAUACUGACGCUAAAGCGCGAAAGCGUGGGUAGCAAACAGG